rnacentral:misc_RNA from 1 species
UGAACCAAGUUUUCAUCUAUUUGGAUUCAUAAUUUGUAUCGGUGCAACAGCUGCAAGAGCACUCAAGUCAGUGCUUCAGGGGAUUUUGCUAUCUUCUGAAGGGGAGAAGCUGAAUUCCAUGAACCUUCUUCUCUAUAUGGCUCCCAUAGCAGUUGUAUUUCUAUUACCGGCAACACUUGUGAUGGAAGAAAAUGUAGUUGGCAUCACACUGGCACUUGCAAGAGAUGAUAGUAGAAUCAUCUGGCUUUUGCUAUUCAAUUCUGCGCUGGCAUAUUUUGUAAAUCUGACCAACUUUCUGGUGACAAAACACACCAGUGCCCUGACUCUUCAGGUCCUGGGAAACGCAAAAGGAGCUGUAGCUGUAGUCAUCUCAAUCUUAAUAUUUAGAAACCCGGUGUCAGUUACAGGGAUGCUUGGCUAUGCACUUACAGUUUUUGGAGUCAUACUCUAUAGUGAAGCGAAGAAACGUAGUAAAUGAGGCAUUGAAAGUUUUCCACUUGCGACUUCUGAAAUUAAUUGUUUGUUGAAGAAAUGAUUCACUUUCACGAGGCAAGUCGCGGAUCAUGCUCUUGCAUUUUGCCCUGAAAAACCUGUGAAACAGCAGGCUUUCAUCUGUGAGACAGGAAUAGGCUGCUGAUGGAAUAGCAAGUCUUAAGAAGUGACUUGAUUUGUCUAUCUUUUUGUCUUUUUAUUCUUUCAGAAAAGAUUGUAAAAUUGAGACUACACACAAUAUGUCACUAUAGUUGUCAAAUUGAUUUAUUAAUGAAAAAGGA